UGGAAGCACAAAUCGGAGACCAAUCAGCUCAAUGGACUGCUUGCUUUGAAUUUCUUAAGAAAGGCUUGUUUUCUUUUAAGUGUACGUGAAAGGGAAUACAUUCCUCGCUGUCGUCUGAUUGCAACAAUUAGUUUCCCUGCCACGAAGAAUCACAAGCGGAGCAUUGACUCCUGCUGGCCUCCCGCCCACCAGUGUGCCAAGAAACAGUCCAUUUUGAAAACACGGUGUGCCUUUGAGGGAGAAGCUGAAUACUUUCUCCCAUUAAGUCGGGCAACAGGCAGCUUAUCGGCCAUUUUCGCGCAAUCAAUUCUCUUGGCGACCCAAGGGCACCGUCCGCUGAAAUUUACACAAUGCCCUUCGUUUCAGCAGGGCUUGCACAGGGACCUGCAGUGCACAGGAAGGAAGGGGAGAGAGAGAGGCUGUAAAUGUGAUAAGGAACCUCAAGGGAAGGAUAUUGCUAUGGAACAGCAUCAUGGCUUAUUGCUCGUUUCAAAAAGAAAAAGAAAGAAACACCAACUUUUCCAAACCCAAGACUGAACAUGAAGUCUGAAUGGCCUGCCCUGGCUAUUUGGCCCACAACUAGGAUAGAGAUAUUUUUUAUUUUUGCAAUGGAGAGCAAGUUAAGAAGCACUGUAAAUAAACUCCAAUGACAGGUUUGCAACCUGAAGUCAUCCUAGGCUUCUGCUGUCCUCUAGGGGGCAUCUGUAGACUGGAAAGUUCAAGAGGCAGGGAGUCAUCAGUACGUCUCUGUGCAGAAGGAGGCAGGGCCUUCAGCAUCCCUGCCAGAUGCAAUACUGCUGCUGCAACAUGCCUUACUGUAGCAGCAGCAACAUCUUGGUAGCUCAAUUGGUAGAGCAUGAGACUCUUAAUCUCAUGGGUCAUGGGUUCAAAUCCCACGUUGGGCAAAAGAUUCCCACAUUGUU
rnacentral:lncRNA from 1 species